AACGAACGCUGGCGGCGCGUCUUAAGCAUGCAAGUCGAGCGGCAAGGGGAGCUUGCUCCCCCUAGAGCGGCGGACUGGUGAGUAACGCGUGGGUGAUUUGCCUUUGGGCUGGGGAUAGCCGUUAGAAAUAGCGGGUAAUACCGAAUACGUCCGCGUUGCCGAGGCAGCGCGAAGAAAGGGGCUUAGGCCCCGCCCGAAGAUAAGCCCGCGUCCCAUUAGCUAGUUGGUGUGGUAAUGGCGCACCAAGGCGAAGAUGGGUAGCCGGCCUGAGAGGGCGAACGGCCACACUGGGACUGAGAUACGGCCCAGACUCCUACGGGAGGCAGCAGCUAAGAAUAUUCCGCAAUGGACGAAAGUCUGACGGAGCGACGCCGCGUGGAUGACGAAGGCCGGAAGGUUGUAAAAUCCUUUUGCGGACGAAGAAGAAGAUGGGGAGGGAAUGCCCUGUCGGUGACACGGGUCCGUGAAUAAGCCCCGGCUAAUUACGUGCCAGCAGCCGCGGUAACACGUAAGGGGCGAGCGUUGUUCGGAAUUAUUGGGCGUAAAGGGCGCGUAGGCGGCCAUGCAAGUCCGGCGUGAAAUAUCGGGGCUCAACCCCGGGGCUGCGUUGGAAACUGCAAGGCUUGAGUCAUAGAGGGGCAGCCGGAAUUCCUGGUGGAGGGGUGAAAUCUGUAGAUAUCAGGAAGAACACCGGUGGCGAAGGCGGGCUGCCAGCUGGUGACUGACGCUGAGGCGCGAAAGUGCGGGGAGCAAACAGGAUUAGAUACCCUGGUAGUCCGCACUGUAAACGAUGUGCACUAGGUGUCUGGCCGAGCGGUUAGGCGCCGGAGCGAACGCGAUAAGUGCACCGCCUGGGGAGUAUGCCCGCAAGGGUGAAACUCAAAGGAAUUGACGGGGGCCCGCACAAGCGGUGGAGCAUGUGGUUUAAUUCGAUGGUACGCGAGGAACCUUACCUGGGUUUGACAUGCAGGGGAAUGGCGCCGAGAUGCGCCCGCGUAGUAAUACGCCCCUGUGCAGGUGCUGCAUGGCUGUCGUCAGCUCGUGCCGUGAGGUGUUGGGUUAAGUCCCGCAACGAGCGCAACCCCUACCGUCAGUUGCCAGCAUUAAGUUGGGGACUCUGACGGAACUGCCGGCGACAAGCCGGAGGAAGGCGGGGAUGACGUCAAGUCAUCAUGGCCCUUAUGUCCAGGGCUACACACGUGCUACAAUGGGCAGUACAAAGCGAAGCGAGUCCGCGAGGACCAAGCGAACCGCCGAAAGCUGCCCGUAGUCCGGAUUGAAGUCUGAAACUCGACUUCAUGAAGCUGGAAUCGCUAGUAAUCGCGCAUCAGCAUGGCGCGGUGAAUACGUUCCCGGGC
rnacentral:rRNA from 1 species